rnacentral:rRNA from 1 species
UAAUACGUAGGAUGCAAGCGUUGUCCGGAAUUAUUGGGCGUAAAGAGCGAGCAGGCGGCAACUCAAGUCAGAUGUGAAAUAUCCCGGCUUAACUGGGAGGGGCCAUUUGGAACUGAGUAGCUAGAGUGCAGGAGAGGAUAGCGGAAUUCCCGGUGUAGUGGUGAAAUGCGUAGAUAUCGGGAGGAACACCAGUGGCGAAGGCGGCUAUCUGGCCUGCAACUGACGCUGAGGCGCGAAGGCUAGGGGAGCAAACAGGAUUAGAUACCCUGGUAGUCCUAGCAGUAAACGAUGGAUACUAGGUGUUGGGGGAAAUUGACCCCCUCAGUGCCGCAGCAAACGCAAUAAGUAUCCCGCCUGGGGAGUACGGUCGCAAGAUU